CCUAACUCUACAUAUAGAGAAUAUCCAUGUACAAAGAAUGUCAGAAUUACUUUUAAGAAUAACAAUUUUAAAUGCUCUAGAAGAAGCUGGAAGAAAACAUACCAUGCAAACACUAAUGAAAAGAAAACUGAACCAUCUAUAUGAAUGGUACACACAUAGACAUCAGAACAAAGAACACCACCAGGGAGAAUGAGGGGCAUUCCAUGAUGAGGUAAGAGUCAUUUUAUGAGAAGACACAAUAAUCCUAAAUGUGCAAUGUCAGAGCUUGAAAAUCAGGAAGAGAAAAUUGAAAGAACUUGAAGAAGAAUGUGACAAAUUCAUAAGAGAAAAUGAAGAUUUUGAUCCUGUUCUCCAAGUCAUCAAUCAAACUGAUAGAAAAUCAUCAAGGGUAGUGACAAGAACAAUACCAGGAGCCAAGUGCACAGACUGGACUUUCAUAGACCCUCCACUCAAUGCACAGGGUACAUGUCCUUGCCAAGUGAACCAGAACAGAUCACAUCUUGCAUUUCAGAUCAAAUCUUAGUAGGUUUAAAUAAAUGAAAGUCACAUAAAACACUUUAUAUGGUUUGAUAUUAAUGUAGAAAUCACUAAGAGAAAGAUAACAAUGAAUUCUUUAAACACAUAUUGACCAGCCCAAUUCUAAAUGGCCCAUGGAAUUCUCAUGGAAAUUUAGAAAAUAUUUUCAACUAAACAAAAUAUCAAACUCUGAGUUACAGAUGAAGGCAGUGAUUAGAAGGAAAUGUAUAGUACUGAAAUGCCCACAUUAUGAAAAAGAUAACUCAAUUAAUUAAUAAAAUCUCAAAAACAUAACUCAAUUAACUCUUUGCUCUGAGAAAUUAGACAUCAAAGACCAAAAAUUAAAC
rnacentral:lncRNA from 1 species